UUAAUAAAGUACAGACAAUGUAUCCAAGUUCUAAAAACGCAGAUUGAAAAAGACUGCAAACAAAGCGCCAACACAGUCCAUAACUAAGCAUAAACCACGUGAACACAAACGCAUAAGCCCGCAUAAACCACGUCUACAUCCAAGUUGCUACAACAAGUGAAAAACGCAGUGCACUCAAGCUGCAACUUAAAGUACAACUUCACAAUCCAAAGCCGGCAUAAACGGCAAUACAAUAAAAUGCAGCUAGCUACAACAGAAAAUUAAAGUACAGCUUCACAAAUCAAUCCAAAGCACAAGGAAAGCCGCAACACCGUCACAAGCAGCAAAAAGUGCAUCAAUCUAACCGCCAGUUGCGAAACGCACGCGGCAAAAUUCAAAACCGUUACGAAUCGCAAAGCCAAGAACCAAAAGUCCUGCACACACAUUGAUACUUCAAUUAAAACUUCAACCAAAAUACAACAGAGAUCAAAGAGAAAAUUCAUAAUACAGAAAUAGAAUAGAAAUGAAGAGAAAAUGAUGAGAGAACCUGAAGAAAAAUGCAGAAUUUUGGUAACCUCCAAUUGAUAACCGAACCGGAAACUGCUACGAAAACUGAGCUCCUCCAAUACACCACUUCAAUCACAUAAGAAUUCCUAACCAAUUGUCAAAAUAAUAGAGCCAACCAACUCUUUCAAGAAACCCUCAACAAACUUCAACCCAUAAUAACAAUCUCUCUAAUCUCAUAUAACUGAAACCACCAACUCACCAACCGAAAUUCAACCUGUAACAGAAUUAUGGGAGUUGAAAUCACCUCUAACCAACCUAACAGUUAUGACCAACUCUCAACAGAACCACUAACCGAAUAACCGAAUCCUUCAAUCCUAACCACCCUAACUGUUUUCACACAACUAACUUCCAACCUCUCAACAAACCGCCUCCAACUGAAUAAACCAAACUCCAACCUCCCCUAACAGAAUUGAGAACCAUCCUCAACCAAUUUCGAACCAACAGGAAGAGAAUUCCGCAACUGACUGUAAGGGGUUCCAUCAACCAAUAAAUGCUGAACCGAAUCACUCUCCACAUUUUUUUCUUCACCUCAUUUCAACAACUCCAUCUUCAAAAACCGCCUUUCACCACCCUCCUCAAGGAGGAACUUUCCCUCAACCCUGCAACUUCACAAUUGAUUCUCCAUCUUCAAACCACUCCUCAUCAAACAUCUUCAGCCGACCCUCUUCUUCAACCUCAACCCUGAGACCCUCCAUUCGAUCCGUAAAAUAGAACGUCAACCAACUCCAAAAUUCCUUUAACUGCUCCCUUCUCUCCAAAC
rnacentral:lncRNA from 1 species